UUCGGUCCUCAAUGCUACCACAACUCUGCUCAACUCUCGACUCUCAAACCUCAACCAUUCUACUAACGUGCUGAACAUCAGCUAUCAGAAAAUUUCAGACACCUCCUAUGCAGUCAUCUUCACAUUCAGCCUCAGUAAUAUCAGCAUGCCAGAGAGCGCUGACCUCAGGAACAGCACCUACACCCAAGUGCAGAACUCCAUCAACACAGCGUUGAACACACUGCUAAAUCAACCUGGUGCAGAUCCUUUUGAACCCCAGAGCUCAGUCUUCAG